AUGAAAAGUUCACUAUUAAUUAUGCAGGGGACUGCAUGUGAUUAGAUUAAUUAUUGUUAGUUUUUCUGUAUAACUGGCAUUUCCCCGUGUUAUUUAACUGGUUUCUUUUUUAUUACAGCGUUUAUGCGUUCUACUGUUUUAUGUCAAGUUGAAGGUAUUUUCAUUGAGAAGUGAAAUGCAAUGAAAACAUUGGUAGAUAUGUAAAAAUGUAUUUCUGCGUAUACGAUAGAUUGUGCAUAUAUCAUUCACGAACAUUCCUACUAAGGUGAAAUUCUUUCAUUUAAAAUGGAUUGUAUGAGUUUUCAUACUGAUUUUAAAAAGUUAUCUCCCGUGUGUCUGUUAGUAAGCAUUCACGAAUUGUCUCACGGAUGUAGUUAUCGGAAGUCGCUCUUGUCAGGUAAUAUUACUAUACAAACUCUUGGCUUUUGUUUUCCUGAUCUGUUUUACACUUAUAUGCUGUAGUAUUGUUACGUGCCAAUUCAACAACUUAAUACCCAAUAGUAAGACCUAGACAUGUCAUUACUCUUCUGUUUCGCAAAAACGUCACCUUAAGAUAACAGGAUUUAAGACAGAAUAUUAAUGUGCUAUUCAUUUUGUCAACGUGCGUGGUAAUUAAGAAUACAGAUUUUGCCUCGAGUCAUAACAAAUCAUAAACAAGAAAAUUUAUUGACGCAAGCGUCAAAUUCGGCCGCAACUACGUGGUAACUAUAAACAUAAUGCAAAGUGAAAAAUUGAAGCAAUCUCAUAAAUACCAUAAAGAAUGUGAAAUUGAGAGUAGAGCAAACACGGACACUUGGAAAUAUCAGAGGUCAGGGGUCAGGUGCUUAAAAGUAAGCAUCCCAACUAAGCAAACCGUAUAGAAACCUUCACGUUUUUAUAUCCAAGCUUAUUUUUUCCUGUAUUAGUCCUUCACUAAUCCUGUGGAAAUCCGGAUUAGAAUAGGUCCUCAGUACCCCUUGCUUCUCGUAAGAGGCAAUUAUAUGGGGCGGUCCUUCGGAUGAGACCGUGUGGCACGAUAAAGACUCCUCCUUGCUCAAUGGCCAUAGGCCUAAAUUUUGCAGCCCUUCACCGGCAAUGGUGACAUCUCCAUAUCACUGUCAUGAUCGUGUGCAGGAUAGGACAAAACAAGAUGGCAGACGGCAUUUCCAAACAAAGAUCCAGUCAGGAGCGGACUUCCUUAAGCUUAAAAGUUGCAAGUGAAUGAAGUGUGUUCUAUUUUAUGUCUCCUACUAAAACCAUGGUUUUGACAAACCUAGAAGAGCACGUGGAGCAAGGAACUAUCAGUAAGCCGGAAGAGCCAGCUCAAAAAUCUUUAAGUGUUUGAGAAUUUCACCGCGCACAUGAGUCUAAAGUUCUGCACACGUUAGAAGGAGCCUUGUUCUCGGAGAUCAACAUGUUGAAAAGUCUUCAUUUUGCAGAAGCAAAUACAUUUAUAUUGUAUAUACACGUGUAGACCAUGUUCGAUUCCCAACCACUUAAAAUUUGUGAUAUCUGCACGGAAUUAUUAAAACUGAGCAUGGUUUGACGUAUAAUAAUCUCUUUAGGCACGAUGGUUUACAUUUCACAAAGCUGUUCAAUGACAAUAAAGACAAUAAGAUGUU